CCUCCGCUCGCGUCUCCUCCAUCCACACUACUGGAAAAGGAAAGCUAAGCAAGAAGAAGCAAGAAGAAGAUGGCGACGAAGACGGCGGAGAUACUGCUCGCGGCGCUGAUCUUGACGGCGAUCUUCUCGCGGAUGGACGUCGCCGUCGAGUCCGCCGCAGCAGAUUGCUACGACGCUUGCUCCACCGCGUGCGUCCAACCCGACACGAGGCUGAUGGCGCGGUGCGACCGCAAGUGCCAGAUCAAGUGCGAACCAGGCCUUUUGGCAAUGGGGGGAAAUGUCGGCUGAAAUCAUUCUGUUCGACCGCCGAUGAACAACCGAUCGGCAACCUACGCCAAUCGGAGCCGUAAUCUUUCAUGUAUGCUAGUAAACAAUGAAUUAUGUGCUGUGGCUAUACGUGAACGGGAUAUUGCACUACGUACUUAUACGUAAACUUGAUUUCGAGAGUUUUCCUUUUAUGUAAUUAGGGGAUUUCUUUUAAUUUCCAUAUUUUACAUAUUCGCUUGU